rnacentral:misc_RNA from 1 species
GUGAAUCAUCGAAUUUUUGAACGCAAAUUGCACUCUCUUCGGAGAGUAUGCCUGUUUGAGGGUCAGCCUAAAAAAAAUCGACAUCGUUGCUGUUUCGCGGUGGCGUUCGUCGGAAAUUGGUUUAUUUUAAUUUUUUGGUUUAAGCACUUUAAGUUUUUCUUUACGAUUCCAGGAACGUUUCAAGGAUUAAUUUUUUUCCACGUUUAAGGUUUCGUUUUUAUUAGGCUUGUUCGUAAUA